GCUGUUUUAUUUUAUUUAUGUACUAUUUUCUGACUGGCACAAUAGAAACAUCUGUGGCAUCAUGGGCAAUUGGAGGGAUUAUACCACUCACGCCAUAUAAACUGAGCAGUGGGACUGCUCAUUAUACUGUAAGUAAUAUUUUAUUAUUAUCUCCCCAUCUAUAAAUACGGGGAGCACUAUAUAAUCUCUAUUUGUUUUGUUUGUUUUUUGGCUCUUUUGGUCACUUAUCCUGCCAUUGAAGACAAUAAG